rnacentral:sRNA from 1 species
GCCAGGCACAGUGACGCAUGCCUGUAAUCCCAGUGGCUCAGGAGGCUGAGGCAGGAGGAUUACAAGUUUGAAGCCAGCCUCAG